rnacentral:lncRNA from 1 species
GGACCCUAAUUCUAAAGACAGAGAAAUGGAAUGACAGGAAGGCCUCAGAGCCAAACGUGGACAGCGCCCACCACAAAGAGACCAGGAGCGGGGGAGGGAGGAAUAGAAAUGAACCCAAAGCAAAAGGGUGAUAAAAAGCCGCAGUCCAUCAGGAGCCUCUCGGGGUCACGAGCCUCAGUUUCCCCACAACAGAAGAUGGAGAUCUGAGAGGUUUAGGAGCCCGUCAAGAAGAGGAUGGACAGACCAAAGGAAAUAGCCUGUGGCAACAGACAUCUAAGAUACAGGUAUGUGCCGGUUGUUUUUUCCAUUUUUAUCUGGAGUCUGCGAUCGAGAGCUCACUCUAAUGAUCUCAGAACUCUACCAAAU